AGGUAGUGACAAGAAAUAACAAUACAAGGCAGUUAAAAUGCUUUGUAAUUGGAAUGAUAGAAAUUUAAACACUUUUUAAAGUAUCAAUUGGAGGGCAAGUCUGGUGCCAGCACCCGCGGUAAUUCCAGCUCCAAUAGCGUAUAUUAAAAUUGUUGCAGUUAAAAAGCUCGUAGUUGAAUUUCUGUUAAAAAUAACCGGUCUGCUUUUAAUAAAAGUGGUAUCUUGGUGUGUUUUUAGCAAUAAUGUCCUUUGAAAUGUUUUUUACUUUAUUGUAAUAAAUAAUAUUCAGGAUUUUUACUUUGAGAAAAUUAGAGUGUUUCUAGCAGGCUAACGCUUUGAAUACUGCAGCAUGGAAUAAUAAAAUAGGAUUUUAGUUCUACAUUAUUGGUUUUAAGAACUAAAUUAAUGAUUGAUAGGGACAGUUGGGGGCAUUUGUAUUUAACUGUCAGAGGUGAAAUUCUUAGAUUUGUUAAAGACAAACUACUGCGAAAGCAUUUGCCAAAGAUGUUUUCAUUAAUCAAGAACGAAGGUUAGGGGAUCGAAGACGAUCAGAUACCGUCGUAGUCUUAACUAUAAACUAUGCCGACUAGAGAU
rnacentral:rRNA from 1 species